rnacentral:rRNA from 1 species
GAUGAACGCUGGCGGCGUGCCUAAUACAUGCAAGUCGAGCGAACAGACGAGGAGCUUGCUCCUUUGACGUUAGCGGCGGACGGGUGAGUAACACGUAGGUAACCUACCUAUAAGACUGGGAUAACUUCGGGAAACCGGAGCUAAUACCGGAUAAUAUUUCGAACCGCAUGGUUCGAUAGUGAAAGAUGGCUUUGCUAUCACUUAUAGAUGGACCUGCGCCGUAUUAGCUAGUUGGUAAGGUAACGGCUUACCAAGGCAACGAUACGUAGCCGACCUGAGAGGGUGAUCGGCCACACUGGAACUGAGACACGGUCCAGACUCCUACGGGAGGCAGCAGUAGGGAAUCUUCCGCAAUGGGCGAAAGCCUGACGGAGCAACGCCGCGUGAGUGAUGAAGGUCUUCGGAUCGUAAAACUCUGUUAUUAGGGAAGAACAAACGUGUAAGUAACGGUGCACGUCUUGACGGUACCGAAUCAGAAAGCCACGGCUAACUACGU